rnacentral:rRNA from 1 species
CUACGUGCCAGCAGCCGCGGUAAUACGUAGGUGGCAAGCGUUGUCCGGAAUUAUUGGGCGUAAAGCGCGCGCAGGCGGAUUGGUCAGUCUGUCUUAAAAGUUCGGGGCUUAACCCCGUGAUGGGAUGGAAACUGCCAAUCUAGAGUAUCGGAGAGGAAAGUGGAAUUCCUAGUGUAGCGGUGAAAUGCGUAGAUAUUAGGAAGAACACCAGUGGCGAAGGCGACUUUCUGGACGAAAACUGACGCUGAGGCGCGAAAGCCAGGGGAGCGAACGGGAUUAGAUACCCCGGUAGUCCACGCCGUAAACGUUGGGCACUAGGUGUGAGGCUCCUUUCCGGGGGUUUUGCGCCGUAGCUAACGCAUUAAGUGCCCCGCCUGGGGAGUACGGCCGCAAGGCUAAAACUCAAAGGAAUUGACGGGGGCCCGCACAAGCGGCGGAGCAUGCGGAUUAAUUCGAUGCAACGCGAAGAACCUUACCAAGGCUUGACAU